rnacentral:rRNA from 1 species
UGGGGAAUUUUACACAAUGGGGGAAACCCUGAUGUAGCGACACCGCGUGAACGAAGAAGCCUUUUGGGGUGUAAAGUUCUGUCGGCUGGAACGAAAAAAAUGACGGUACCAGCAAAGGAAGCAUCGGCUAACUACGUGCCAGCAGCCGCGGUAAGACGUAGGAUGCAAGCGUUGUCCGGAUUUAUUGGGCGUAAAGAGUUCGUAGGCGGUUAUUUAAGUCUGGUGUUAAAUACUGUGGCCCAACCACAGAACUGCAUUGGAUACUGGAUGACUUGAGUGCGGUAGAGGCGAGUGGAAUUCCCAGUGUAGCGGUGAAAUGCGUAGAUAUUGGGAAGAACACCAGUGGCGUAAGCGACUCGCUGGCCCGUAACUGACGCUGAGGAACGAAAGCCAGGGGAGCGAAUGGG